AUAUAGCUAGUGGUUUUGUCAACCAUCUCUUCUGGUGUUAGUUCUGCUGCAAAUACACACCCACACUGCUUUUCAACGAAUGCGCAAAAUGUGGGUUUACCUAACUGAUAUUUGUUUGACUUAAAGCUGCGAACACAACAGACACAACUUCAAAAGUUUUUCCAAAUACAUACAUGCAU